rnacentral:sRNA from 21 species
UGAGAUCGGCGCGUGCUUGCCAAUUCCUAUUAGAACAAGGUUAUAAUGUUAUCAAUGUCCAGGGUGGCAUGUUAGCCUUUGAAGAACUUUAAAAUUUUGCAUUUCUCCUACUUGGUGUGGACUGGGUAGGAGAGUUUUAU